AGUGAACGCUGGCGGCAGGCCUAACACAUGCAAGUCGAACGAACCUUUCGGGGUUAGUGGCGGACGGGGGAGUAACACGUGGGAAAGUGCCUUUAGGUUCGGCAUAACUCAGGGAAACACGUGCUAAUACGGAAUGUGACAUUCGGGGGAAAGAUUUAUCGCCUUUAGAGCGGCCCGCGUCUGAUUAGCUAGUUGGUUGAGGUAAUGGCUCACCAAGGCGACGAUCAGUAGCUGGUCUGAGAGGAUGAUUAGCCACAUUGGGACUGAGACACGGCCCAAACUCCUACGGGAGGCAGCAGUGGGGAAUCUUGCGCAAUGGGCGAAAGCCUGACGCAGCCAUGCCGCGUGAAUGAUGAAGGUCUUAGGAUUGUAAAAUUCUUUCACCGGGGACGAUAAUGACGGUACCCGGAGAAGAAGCCCCGGCUAACUUCGUG
rnacentral:rRNA from 1 species